AAUAAAAUAUUAUAAUAAAAUUUAAAUAUUAACUUAAAAAUAUUACUGAGAUGAUCCUGUUAUCCCACAAGCUAUAUCUAUGAAAUUGCACUGGUAUACCUAUAUAACUGACAGUAUUUUUUACCUUGAAUAUUGUAUCAUGCACAAAUUUUCGUUCUCUGUUUAGAUUUUAAUUAAUAUAAUUAUACGAAUAUUUUAAAAAUAUAAUUUCAAAAUCGAAAGUCCAAAGUCCAUAGUCCAAAGUCCAUAGUCCAAAGUCCAUAGUCCAAAGUCCAG
rnacentral:lncRNA from 1 species